UGUAGGUCAUGUCAGAUUGUACCAUGCAGCAUCUGUUCAAUGCACGCUGGGAAAGGCUACAAUCCAGGCAGGUUUGAAAGGUGACCAGUCAAGCAUCCUGUCUUUGGUGCUGUUGUUGCUUGCAUCGUGAUGUAAUACACUACAUGAUCCAGUAAACACUUUGGUUCUUACCUGACGUGCUGUAUACAGACCUAUGAACUACAAUGACACGCCUCCCCUGUUGUGGGCUACGGCUUCUGCCUGGCUGAAGCCAUCUCUAAACAAUGAUCCUCUUGGAUUGGGUACCGUGGAGCAUGCAUACUUCUUUUGUAUAGCAAAUAGAAAGAAGAAUGAUGUUAUCAAGUCAAAGACUGCUACAGUCCGUUGGCUUGCCAAUAUGAAAAUGCACAAUAGCUCGGUUCAGUAUCCUCUCAUUUCUAGUUGCAGCAUAGCGCACUGCACUUUUGAAUGGGCUCCAACUCAGCAGGCUAAAUUCAAUAUGAAAAUGCAAUAGGCAUAGAGCAAGGUAAAAAACCACAAACGUAUCCUUACUUUUACAAAGAUGUCAUGAAUACAUGGACGCCAGGGCAGGCUCAUGAUUACACGGCUCAAAUGGCUUCUUGUAUGUUUAACAAAACACAUUGCAGCUAUCUGGAAAGGAUAUUUAUUGUUUGUUUGAUAUUCAAAGGCAUUUCUUUUGAGUCUGUAAAUAAACUUCAGCCUCGGCCCUGUUGAAUACAAUUUGAAGGCUAUGCCCUGCCGGAUCUAAUUUGAUGAGCACUUACUAUGCUGAAACCCACAUCACUCUUCAGGCAUGACACAAAUGAGUAAUUCAGUGGUCAUUUAUUAGGAAGAGGCUGUUUUUAUCAUAACUCUUGGUAUGAACAAAUCAAUGUGACACCAGUGUUACAUCUGAAUAAUUCAUCAGUGGUUAUUAGACCCUUUAAUUUACAUGUACUAAUUGGAAGUACUGCUGCACACGAGCCUGUAUGAUAACAGUAAUGCUUAAGCUGUCAAGUGCAUAUAAAGACCAAUAGAGCUCUCAUCCUUUCUGCUUAACUAUUUGAUUGCUGAAAAGAUGUGUCCAAGUAGAGGAUGUUUGAUUAGCAAGCAACACGUGGCUAAUAACCUGCCACAAAUUAGUUUCUUUUUUUUUCUUAUUUCUUCCACUUUCUUUCAGAACAUUACAUACAGAGAGUACAAAGAAUCAAUUUAGCUUGAGUUACGUCAAUAUGCUGUGUAUAUAUAUAUAUAUAUAUAAGAAUUGCACAAUGUAGAUGUAGAGAUAUAAGUACCUCCAGUUUUUCACACAUUAUGGGGCGGCCUGGUCUCUUAGAUAUUACAUUAUAUAAAACUAAUUUGCAACAGCAAAUAUGUUUUGACCAAAACAAAUGAUUACAUCUUUAAAUCAGCACAAGGAGGAAAAUGUUUUAAAUAGCCUAUUUGAACUGUUAUUACUGAAUGUAUUAGCAAAAUGUUCACUGACAAUGUAUUUCAGUUUUUUCCCUAUAGUAGCCACUCAUAGCAAUUAAAGCAUUGUUAAAUGUUUUUAUGGUUAUGUAGAACCAUGAACGUUAUUAACAUUUAACAAAGAUAUAUUCUAUAUCCUAGCCUUAACCAAAGUGUGUUUGUUUUUCCUCAAAACAUAAUUAGUUAAGCGUAUAAAAACAUUAUUUCUAAGACACAGUUGCUGUGGUUACAUGGAGAAUAUUUCUUUAACCUGAAUUAAAUCACUCAAUUUGAGAGCAAUUUCAACGCUAAAUAAAGUGAUCUGAUGUGUAUUCACAUCCCCCAACACAUUUCAUCAGAAUAUAACUUUUUGGACUUGUGCAAAGGGGUUCCACCCAAUGUGAAGCGUCUGAUAUAGCAUGAAUAUAACAGAAUACGUUUUUUCCCUAACUUCAUUGAGAUGGUUAGGUGGAUUCCAGCUUUUAUUUAUUCAUUUAUAAUGUCUUUCUUUAUUUGAAAAUGAAAUCUUAAUCUUUAUUUUGAAAUCCCAAUAAAUCAUAGAUUUACCACAUUGUUUCCUUUCCACAUUGUGUAGCAGUGUUAGUUUUAGGAUACUUUUAUAAAUUGUAGCAAGUGUA